AUUGCCCCAGUAACGGCGAGUGAAGCGGCAACAGCUCAAAUUUGAAAUCUGGUCCCCAGGGCCCGAGUUGUAAUUUGCAGAGGAUGCUUUUGGUGAGGUGCCUUCCGAGUUCCCUGGAACGGGACGCCAUAGAGGGUGAGAGCCCCGUCUGGUUGGAUACCGAGCCUCUGUAAAGCUCCUUCGACGAGUCGAGUAGUUUGGGAAUGCUGCUCUAAAUGGGAGGUAUAUGUCUUCUAAAGCUAAAUAUUGGCCAGAGACCGAUAGCGCACAAGUAGAGUGAUCGAAAGAUGAAAAGCACUUUGAAAAGAGGGUUAAAUAGUACGUGAAAUUGUUGAAAGGGAAGCACUUAUGACCAGACUUGGCCCCGGUGAAUCAUCCAGCGGUUCCCGCUGGUGCACUUUGCCGGGGUUCAGGCCAGCAUCAGCUCGCUCCGGGGGAUAAAGGCUUUGGGAAUGUGGCUCCCUCGGGAGUGUUAUAGCCCAUUGCGUAAUACCUUGUGGCGGGCUGAGGUUCGCGCUCUAUGCAAGGAUGCUGGCAUAAUGGUCAUCAGUGACCCGUCUUGAAACACGGACCAAGGAGUCGUCUUCGUAUGCGAGUGUUCGGGUGUUAAACCCCUACGCGUAAUGAAAGUGAACGCAGGUGAGAGCCCUCCAGGGCGCAUCAUCGACCGAUCCUGAUGUUCUCGGAUGGAUUUGAGUAAGAGCAUACGGGGCCGGACCCGAAAGAAGGUGAACUAUGCCUGUAUAGGGUGAAGCCAGAGGAAACUCUGGUGGAGGCUCGCAGCGGUUCUGACGUGCAAAUCGAUCGUCAAAUAUGGGCAUGGGGGCGAAAGACUAAUCGAACCUUCUAGUAGCUGGUUUC
rnacentral:rRNA from 1 species